rnacentral:rRNA from 1 species
CUAAAACGUAUAUUAAAGUUGUUGCGGUUAAAAAGCUCGUAGUUGGAUUUCUGUUGAGAUCGGUCGGUCCCCACUCUGUGGGCGUAUCUGAUAUGGUCUUGGCAUCCUCAUAGGGAACCGGAGGCACUUCACUGUGUGGCCGGGAAUCUAUGACUUUUACUUUGAGGAAAUUAGAGUGUUCAAAGCAGGCGACCGCCUUGAAUACGUUAGCAUGGAAUAAUAAUAUAGGACUUUGGCCCUAUUUUGUUGGUUUCUAGGACUAAAGUAAUGAUUAACAGGGAUAUUUGGGGGCAUUCAUAUUCCAAUGCCAGAGGUGAAAUUCUUGGAUUAUCGGAAGAUGAACUUCUGCGAAAGCAUCUGCCAAGGAUGUUUUCAUUGAUCAAGAACGAAAGUUA